rnacentral:lncRNA from 1 species
CUUUGUUUAACAUUCCAAAGGCGUUCCCAGUGUCCCCCAGAGUCCUCAUUAAUUACCUGGAGAAUUACCAAGGGGUUCUUGGACAGGAUGAGAGCCUCCUUCCACUGCAACUCACCACCCCUCAUGACACUUGGAUGACGAAAAACAGCACUUGAUGAGGUGAGAAGAGGAAUGGAGCCAGGACACGGAAGCAGAAGGGCAUUGACCUGUGAGAUUUCCAAUGCACAGACAUGGCUUGCUCUUUCUCAAGCAGAGGCAAAGGAUGUCGGUGCUAUUGACAGUCCUGGGCAUGAAUCUUUCGGACUGCAAAUGGAAAUCAACUGCCUCUUCAUUCUUCCCCAGGCCUUCACAAUGAACAGAAAGCUGCAGUUUCCUCCUCUGUAUUCUUUCUCCACUCCCACUCGCCUCAUGUACCCCACUGACCCAGGUAUGAGAAACCCAGCCUGCACCUUCUAUAGCACCACAUGCCUAGACUGAGGAAAGAUCCACAAAUGCCACUCUUCUUCGAAUAGCCUACCUUCAUGAAGUCUCACCAACCCGCUGAAUAUGGACUCCAACGGUGCCCUAGGGGAUGGUGGAGCCACCAGAUGGAAGGAGCCUGGUGAUCCCGAGAAGGAGAGAUGCCUCGCUGACCUGAACAUCUUUCCAGAACUGUUAAAUGAAGCCUGCAGGACACCAGCUGACAGUGGAAGGACUGAGGAAGGUUGUAUAAUUUUGUGCAAGGUCCACCACAAAUCCAGCUGAAGAACUGCUCCAAAGUUUAGGUCAUGGCAAGAACAAGACUGGAUCACUCCAUGUCAGUGGAAACAUGUCCACCAACUUCAUCAUUGUCUGUUGUCAUGGUUCACUUUAGAUGUAAACUUGACUGGAUUAAGGAUUCCCUAAAGUGUCAGGCCUCUGAGCCCAAGCUAAGCCAUCAUAUCCCCUGUGACCUGCAUGUACACAUCCAGAUGGCCGGUUCCUGCCUUAACUGACGACAUUCCACCACAAAAGAAGUGAAAAUGGCCUGUUCCUGCCUUAACUGAUGACAUUAUCUUGUGAAAUUCCUUCUCCUGGCUCAUCCUGGCUCCAAAGCUCCCCCACUGAGCACCUUGUGACCCCCACUCCUGCCCACCAGAGAACAACCCCCUUUGACUGUAAUUUUCCUUUACCUUCCCAAAUCUUAUAAAAUGGCCCCACCCCAUCUCCCUUUGCUGACUUUCUUUUCAGACUCAGCCCUCCUGCAACCAGUUGAUUAAAAGCUUUAUUGCUC